GAAGUCCCUGGUUGAGUUGUACAGCUACCUUGCUCGUAAGUAUCACUAAAGUCGUACUGACGCUGAGUUCAACAAGAAGGUUAGAAGAGCUCUGAAC
rnacentral:misc_RNA from 1 species